rnacentral:rRNA from 1 species
GGGGAAUAUUGCACAAUGGGCGAAAGCCUGAUGCAGCGACGCCGCGUGAGGGAUGACGGCCUUCGGGUUGUAAACCUCUUUCAGCAGGGAAGAAGCGCAAGUGACGGUACCUGCAGAAGAAGCACCGGCUAACUACGUGCCAGCAGCCGCGGUAAUACGUAGGGUGCGAGCGUUGUCCGGAAUUAUUGGGCGUAAAGAGCUUGUAGGCGGUUCGUCACGUCUGCUGUGAAAAUCCGGGGCUCAACCCCGGACCUGCAGUGGGUACGGGCGAACUAGAGUGUGGUAGGGGAGACUGGAAUUCCUGGUGUAGCGGUGGAAUGCGCAGAUAUCAGGAGGAACACCGAUGGCGAAGGCAGGUCUCUGGGCCACAACUGACGCUGAGAAGCGAAAGCAUGGGGAGCGAAC